AACGAACGCUGGCGGCAUGCCUAACACAUGCAAGUCGAACGAGACCUUCGGGUCUAGUGGCGGACGGAUGGGUAACCGGUUGGGACAUGCCCAUGGGUUCGGAUUAACUCGCCGAAAGGGGUGCUAAUACCGGCUAUUGUCUUCGGACCAAAGUUUUAUCGAAUUUGGGUGAGCUUGCGUGGGAUUAGCUAGUUGGUAGGCUAAAAGCGUACCAAGGCGAAGAUCCAUAACUGGUCUGCGAGGAUGAUCAGCCACGCUGGGACUGGGACACGGCCCAGACUCCUACGCGAGGCGGCAGAGGGGAAUAUUGGACAAUGGGAUAAGUACUGAUGCAGCAAUGACGCGUGAGUAAUGAAGGCCUGAGGGUUGUAAAGUGCUUUUACCCGGGAUGAUAAUGACAUUACCGGGAGAAUAAGCUCCGGCUAACUCCGUG
rnacentral:rRNA from 1 species